CCUACGGGUGGCAGCAGUGGGGAAUAUUGCACAAUGGGGGAAACCCUGAUGCAGCGACGCCGCGUGAAGGAAGAAGUAUUUCGGUAUGUAAACUUCUAUCAGCAGGGAAGAAAAUGGCGGUACCUGGCUAAGCCGCCCCGGCUAACUACGUUCCAGCCGCCGCGGUCAUCCGGAGGGGGCAAGCGUUAUCCGGAUUUACUGGGUGGAAAGGGAGCGUAGGCGGGGCAGAAAGUCAGAAGGGAAAGCCCGGGGCCCAACGCCGGGACUGCUUUUGAAACUGUUGAACUAGAUUGCAGGAGAGGUAAGUGGAAUUCCUAGUGUAGCGGUGAAAUGCGUAGAUAUUAGGAGGAACACCAGUGGCGAAUGCGGCUUACUGGACUGUAAAUGACGCUGAGGCUCGAAAGCGUGGGGAGCAAACAGGAUUAGAUACCCGUGUAGUC
rnacentral:rRNA from 1 species